UGAACAUAGAGAACUUCGAAGAGCCAAGUGGUGUAUUGAUUGGCUUGAUUGAUGCCACAUGCAAAGCUGCUGCUUCCUUAUAGAAGUCCUGAAACUUUGAGAACUAAGACCAAUGCAGAGUUCGGAGUAUCUUAGAUCUGGCAUUUCAGCUUAUCUUCCUAUCAUGGUUUUCCAAGUUCUGGAAAAAAUCAUAGAGCCUUCUUAGGAAUAUCCCACUCUUCCAGUACCAGCAGACUUCAAGGAUUUCCUGGACCCCCUACAUUUCAGAGUAUAGACUCCAUGAAGACUUUAUAGCUUCAACAGCACCUAUAUCAGUGUCUGCCGUGAGUAGGUGCUCAAGGAGUAUUAGUUGAAUACAUGGAUUCAUCAAUGAUAUACAUUGUAAAGAAAGCGUAGGUAUUACUCUUCCUGUAGAGGGUCUAAUUCUUCUGGAAUAAUAUGAAGACCAGAAUAUUACAAAGAUAAUAAAGUAAACAUUUGGGUGCCCCAGGGCCAGAAUUAAAACACGGUAAUCUUGUACCAUGUUCACAUCAACAGUUUUUUCCUUUUCCAGAAAUAAAUA